rnacentral:rRNA from 1 species
UACGUAGGGUGCAAGCGUUGUCCGGAAUUAUUGGGCGUAAAGGGCUCGUAGGCGGUCCAUCACGUCGGGAGUGAAAAGCUGGGGCUUAACCCCAGUCCUGCUUCCGAUACGGGUGGACUAGAGGUAGGUAGGGGAGAACGGAAUUCCUGGUGUAGCGGUGAAAUGACGCAGAUAUCAGGAGGAACACCGAUGGCGAAGGCAGGUCUCUGGGCAUUAACUGACGCUGAGGAGCGAAAGCAUGGGGAGCGAA